rnacentral:rRNA from 1 species
UAUUGGUCCAUGGGCGGGAGCCUGAACCAGCCAAGUCGCGUGAGGGAUUAAGGCCCUACGGGUCGUAAACCUCUUUUGCCGGGGAGCAGGGCGGCGGACGUGUCCGCCGUUUGGGAGUACCCGGAGAAAAAGAAUCGGCUAACACCGUGCCAGCAGCCGCGGUAAUACGGAGGAUGCGAGCGUUAUCCGGAAUUAUUGGGUUUAAAGGGUGCGUAGGCGGGCUAUUAAGUCAGUGGUAAAAAUUCGGGGCUCAACCCCGUCCGGCCGUUGAAACUGGGGGCCUUGAGUGGGCGAGAAGAAGGCGGAAUGCGUGGUGUAGCGGUGAAAUGCAUAGAUAUCACUCAGAACCCCGAUUGCGAAGGCAGCCUUCCGGCGCCCUACUGACGCUGAGGCACGAAAGUGCGGGGAUCGAACAGG